CCUACGGGUGGCAGCAGUGAGGAAUAUUGGUCAAUGGGCGCUAGCCUGAACCAGCCAAGUAGCGUGAAGGAUGACUGCCCUAUGGGUUGUAAACUUCUUUUAUAUGGGAAUAAAGUGCAGUAUGUAUACUGCUUUGCAUGUACCUUAUGAAUAAGGAUCGGCUAACUCCGUGCCAGCAGCCGCGGUAAUACGGAGGAUCCGAGCGUUAUCCGGAUUUGUUGGGUUUAACGGGAGCGUAGGCGGGUUGUUAAGUCAGUUGUGAAAGUUUGCGGCUCAACCGUAAAAUUGCAGUUGAUACUGGCAGCCUUGAGUACAGUAGAGGUAGGCAGAAUUCGUGGUGUAGCGGUGAAAUGCUUAGAUAUCACGAAGAACUCCGAUUGCGAAGGCAGCCUGCUGGACUGUAACUGACGCUGAUGCUCGAAAGUGUGGGUAUCAAACAGGAUUAGAUACCCGAGUAGUC
rnacentral:rRNA from 1 species